rnacentral:rRNA from 1 species
AACGUAGGUCACAAGCGUUGUCCGAAAUUACUGGGUGUAAAGGGAGCGCAGGCGGGAGAACAAGUUGGAAGUGAAAUCCAUGGGCUCAACCCAUGAACUGCUUUCAAAACUGUUUUUCUUGAGUAGUGCAGAGGUAGGCGGAAUUCCCGGUGUAGCGGUGGAAUGCGUAGAUAUCGGGAGGAACACCAGUGGCGAAGGCGGCCUACUGGGCACCAACUGACGCUGAGGCUCGAAAGUGUGGGUAGCAAACAGG